rnacentral:other from 1 species
UUUAUCCUGCUUAGUUUGUGAUUAACCGUAUUAGUGGAACCGACGUUAUUUUAAAGGGAGCUGAAAUAGAUUCGGCGGCUGUUUUGCAGACCUCCCCGUGCAUUCCUCGAUUGACUUGUCUCGACAGAUGCGCGGGACGUUGGGAGCAGUGAGGCCAAUGAUAGGCACCCACCUUGCUCGGCAGGGUUUCCGACGGCGGUUACACGGCUCGGCGGGGUCUUU